GCGUCCGUAGCUCAGUUGGUUAGAGCACCACCUUGACAUGGUGGGGGUCGGUGGUUCGAGUCCAUUCGGACGCACCA
rnacentral:tRNA from 1 species